GAACUGUAAAAAAAUACAAUCACUCAGCUGACGGGCAGGCUCCUUAUCGUGGAUGCAGGAGAGGGACCACCAGAAAGCACUAGGAACUGAGCCCAGGACCUCCAACAACACACCAGUCAAGAACUCUACUACUGAGUUAUCCUCCCAACCUCUAGUAUGGGUAGAGGGAUCCUGGAAGACAGCCCGGAGGAAGAAGUCACCAUUUGCUACAGAGGGGACAAAUGGCUCAGAAUGGCAAUUCAGGGCCCCCAGCUUUCUGUUUUUAGCUUGUAACCUGUCCCCUCCUGGACUGUGAAAAGAACAUAUAGCCCGACCUCCCUGCCAACAAGCUGUACCAUUGGGAAGAGGAGAGCCCAACGGUAGAAGCUCAUCAAUGAUUCCCAGCCUCUGUUUCCAUCAGAAUUGCUUGAUGAAGCUCCUUUAACACAAAUAGAUUUACUCACAUUCCUUAACUGUAAAAGGUGUGCAUGUGCCAGCAGGGGGUUCUGGAAUCAUGUACCUUUGUCAGAGCUCCCCCAUUUAAUUCUGAUACAAUUCCACGUAUUACCUAAAGAGAACCACUACU
rnacentral:lncRNA from 1 species